rnacentral:misc_RNA from 1 species
AAAAGGUGAAAGUAGUAAUCAGGACUCUACUAUUAAAUCUUCAAGGAGACGGCACUGGCUUGUGAAUAAAAAUUCAAGUGAAGAUCAUAACAAGCUUGACAUUUGGAAUUUUGACCGGGAGCAGUAUCAUUUGGGAACUCGUAAUAGUCUUACAGUUCCGUCUAGCCAUUGGGAUGAUGAAACUGAUAUUGAUGUGGUAAACACUGGAGAACCAUCCAAUCGUGAUCAGUUGUAUGACAAAAGGGGACCAGCAAGUGAUAGUUUUGAAGGUAUUGAAGCUUGUGAGAACCAAUCUA